rnacentral:rRNA from 1 species
UACAGAGGGUGCGAGCGUUGUCCGGAAUCACUGGGCGUAAAGGGCGCGUAGGCGGCUUGAUAAGCGUGCGGUGAAAGCCCGGGGCUCAACCCCGGGUCGGCCGUGCGAACUGUCGAGCUGGAGCACUGUAGAGGCAGGUGGAAUUCCGGGUGUAGUGGUGAAAUGCGUAGAGAUCCGGAGGAACACCAAAGGCGAAGGCAGUGUCCUGGGGAGUACCUGACGCUCAGGUGCGAAAGCCAGGGGAGCGAACGGG